rnacentral:rRNA from 1 species
AUUGAACGCUGGCGGCAGGCUUAACACAUGCAAGUCGAGCGGGGAAAGGUAGCUUGCUACUUAACCUAGCGGCGGACGGGUGAGUAAUGCUUAGGAAUCUGCCUAUUAGUGGGGGACAACAUCUCGAAAGGGAUGCUAAUACCGCAUACGUCCUACGGGAGAAAGCAGGGGACCUUCGGGCCUUGCGCUAAUAGAUGAGCCUAAGUCGGAUUAGCUAGUUGGUGGGGUAAAGGCCUACCAAGGCGACGACCUGUAGCGGGUCGGAGAGGAUGAUCCGCACACUGGGACUGAGACACGGCCCAGACUCCUACGGGAGGCAGCAGUGGGGAAUAUUGGACAAUGGGGGGAACCCUGAUCCAGCCAUGCCGCGUGUGUGAAGAAGGCCUUUUGGUUGUAAAGCACUUUAAGCGAGGAGGAGGCUACCGAGAUUAAUACUCUUGGAUAGUGGACGUUACUCGCAGAAUAAGCACCGGCUAACUCUGUGCCAGCCGCCGCGGUAACAC